rnacentral:rRNA from 1 species
ACUUAGUGGCAGACGGGUGAGUAACAUGUGGGUAUCUACCCCUUGGCCUGGAAUAACACGAGGAAACUUGUGCUAAUACCGGAUAAGUCUUUACGGAGAAAGCUUUAUGCACCAUUGGAUGAGCCCGCACUUGAUUAGUUUGUUGGUAGGGUAAUGGCCUACCAAGACUAUGAUCAAUAGCUGAUUUGAGAGGAUGAUCAGCCACAUUGGGACUGAGACACGGCCCAAACUCCUACGGGAGGCAGCAGUGGGGAAUCUUGCACAAUGGAGGAAACUCUGAUGCAGCGAUGCCGCGUGAGUGAAGAAGGCCUUUGGGUUGUAAAGCUCUUUCGUCGGGGAAGAAAAUGACUGUACCCGAAUAAGAAGGUCCGGCUAACUUCGUGCCAGCAGCCGCGGUAAUACGAAGGGACCUAGCGUAGUUCGGAAUUACUGGGCUUAAAGAGUUCGUAGGUGGUUGAAAAAGUUGGUGGUGAAA